rnacentral:tRNA from 1 species
GGCUGAGUGGUCUAGCGGUAUGAUUCUCGCUUCGGGCACGAGAGGCCGGGGAUCCAUCCCUGACUCGGCCC